GAGGUGUUAGUCUGGGCUUUAACUACUU
rnacentral:piRNA from 1 species